UAUAUGUUUUUAGGGCUGACCAUUUGGCACCGGAUGACUAAUUGGUGUGCUCUUCUCUGAGGAAGACCACUUUUCCUGCUCCCAGCUUUCCUCAGUUGCUUGUAGUUCUUUGUGUAGGAUUGAGUCCUGGUGGGCUUUUCCCUACCCACUUUGGCAUAUCUCUUGAUAUCAUACUUGAUCAGCUCAUGUUGAGGCAGUCAUGUUGGUGACACUUUAUGGGUGUAGCUGUUGACAUUGGUAGGAGACAACGCCUCACAGCAAACUCCCUGAUCCUCUGGCUCUUAACAAUCUUUCCGGCCCCUCUUCAACAAUGUUCCCUGAGCCUUAGGUGUGGGAGUGUUUUGUGAUGUCUCCAGUGGGGCAGGGCUCCACAGCUCUGCAUUUUGAUUGGCUGUGGUUUUCUGAAGUGGUUUCCAUCUGCUGCAAAGAGAAGUUUCCUUGGUGAGGGGAGAAGACUACACUUGUCUGUGAGUAGAAGGAAAGUUGUUUAUAGAUUGUUGUUAGGGAUUAUGUUGGAUUAGUAAAUUAGGCUGUAGAUUCUCCUUUAGUGACCUUAACUUCACUAGCACUGAGCAGUUAGCUAGGUUUCCAGGCGUGGUCCCCUCUUGUUGAGUGGGUCUCAAGUCCAAUUAGAGAGCUCUUGGUCACACCAAGCUGUGUGUGCCACUGCUGCACUCUUAGGGUCAUCAUGUCACUCUGGUUGUUGAUGUGAUUCAUAGGGGUCACAGUAGGGUGGGACUGUUGGUUCCCUCCUUCCUUUGGAAGCUAGCAUGCAUAUAACAUGAAUGCUAGUCCCCAGGGAAGGGGCACUCAGGACAGUUUCAGCUCAAGUGUUUCUGGGCUGUUUCUGGAGUGUAUGGCGUCUUCAGCAAUAGGGACUGACUUUCCAUGUCUGGGGCCCACCAAGGGCAACUGCAAUAGCCUAUAAUAUUGUGAGAGUCUCUUGGACACCCAAAGCCAACAACUCUGGCUUCUCAUGUUUGAUAUUGGCUUUUCUGUUAGGUGGUCUUUGGCUAUUGAAGGGAGCACUGUAGGUCCAGAUGACAAAUGUUCAUUAAAACUGUAUAUGUCUAAUUAUACACAGAUUUAAGUGCAUUUUGGUAAAUAGUUAAUAGUAUGAUUCCUUGAAGCUUUUUCAGAUAUCCUUACUAUUCUUUGUCCCCUCCCUCCUUUUCCUUCCUCCCUCUCCCUGAAGAGCCUCCCCCCCAUUUCCCCAUCAGAUCACUUUUACCCUGCUAUUCCCCUCUACCUCCCACCUUCUUCUGCAAUUACCUCCCUCCCCCUCCCUAAAGAGCCUCACCCUUCCCAUUCCUUAGGGUGAGUUCUUACAGCAUCUGCUUUCAGCAGCUUCUGUGGAAGGGUCAUUGGUCCUCAUAGCCCUGGGUGGUUCUCUAAGCCAUGGUUGUUCCUGGAACCACAGAAUUCAUCUUGUGGCCCUCCGGACUCCUCAUUUGCUGGGCAGGAGGUACUCAAGCAGCCUCUUUGUUUUUCUUACUUUCCUCGUCUUUGUCAGUCUCUACCCUGAGAUCUGUGCUCAGCAACUGUGGAAGUGAAGGAGGGAAGGGGGAGGGAAUGAGAGAGGAGAGGGAAGGGCCAGAGUGAGAGGAGGAAAAAGGGAAGGAAUGAGGGAGGAGAAGGAAAGACAGAGGGAAGGAAGGAUGAAGAGAGAAAGACAGGACAGGAAGAAGGGAGGGAGGGAGGAAGGGUGGGUAGGUGGGUUUGAGGUAGACAUUGCAUGAGAAGUUACUGUAGCCAGCUCAGACUUUUUGUGGCCUAGAGAGAAGUGUGCCCUGCUUUUUAGCCUCAGCGAUCCAUCCUGGACUCCAGAGUGAAGUACACCCUGUGACUCUGAGGUGGGUGAUCGAGCGACGGUCACGGCAGCUGUUACCAUCGCCACUGUGAAGGCAGUGGGCAAUGUAGAGAACAUCCAGAACUGUGGGCCUGGAUGGGAGGAAAACCAGAUUCAUACUGGAUGAAAUGAUGGAUGGAGGAGUAGAGGUCAGGCUCAGAGCUGCAUCACUGUCCCCAGGUGCCCAAGCCACAAAGGAGGAGUCUACUCAGCAUGUGGUGGAUUUGUAGUUGCCUUUGAAACUCUUUUUAAGAAUUAGAAGUUGCAGCUGGGUGGUGGUGGUGCACACCUUCAAUCCCAGAACUUAGGAGGCAGAGGCAGGUGGAUCUCUGUGAGUUUGAGGCCAGCCUGGUCUACAGAGUGAGUUCCAGGACUGCUAUGACUGCUUCACAGAGAGACCCUAUCUCAAAAAACCAAAAGAAGAAGAAGAAGAAGAAGAAGAAGAAGAAGAAGAAGAAGAAGAAGAAGAAGAAGAAGAAGAAGAAGAAGAAGAAGAAUUAGGAGUUCCCCAUUCAAGAAUGAAUUUCCAGCAGAAGAUCAAAGGAACAGCUUUGUCCAGUCGCUUAUAUUAAUUCUAAAAGAGAAGAAAGAAGGAAAGGAAAGAGGUGGGGGCUCUGGCUGGCGUGACUGCACACUUGCAUGCUGAAGAGCUCCAUGCCCCUUCUCAAGCAGAAUACAUAAGAAUGUGGUGAGAAUUUUAAGAUAAAUUAUCUCUGAUCACAUUUCUCUAUUGUACACUGGGUAAACAUUUACAGUAAAUCGUUUGUAAAUUUCACCCUUGGAAAAA